AGGGUGCAAGCGUUAUCGGAAUACUGGGCGUAAAGCGUGCGCAGGCGGUUUUGUAAGUCUGUCGUGAAAGCCCCGGGCUCAACCUGGGAAUUGCGAUGGAGACUGCAAGGCUUGAAUCUGGCAGACGGGGGUAGAAUUCCACGUGUAUCAGUGAAAUGCGUAGAGAUGUGGAGGAACACCGAUGGCGAAAGCAGCCCCCUGGAGUCAAGAUUGACGCUCAUGCACGAAAGCGUGGGGAGCAAACAGGAUUAGAUACCCUGGU
rnacentral:rRNA from 1 species